GAAAGCCUCAAGACAUAUUCUGUGGUGUUGAACAACUUCUGAGCACAGUCCCUGAAGUUAAAACAAAUGUCUUGAUGUGGAGAUAAAGAGAGACCCUGGAAGGGACAGUUUGAACAAAUACUCUGGGAAGAUGAUGACCCCGAGAUGACUACUCAGGGGAAAAUUUGGCCCACUUGCUGAUCUAAACUGCUGUUGGUUACCACAGUCUAGUUGGACCUGACAAAGAGGUAUAAACAGUGGCACACCACCUUCUGGAGAAACCAAGGACUUUGUAACAGUAAACUGGUCCAGUGUGAUAUCACAAGUAUAAAAAAUAUUCCAUUCUGUAUCAAAACUAG